rnacentral:lncRNA from 1 species
UUUAACAAUUAUGAUUUGGAAUACACAGAAAGCGAAAGAAACUACUACACUUAAGAGAAGGAAAACAGUAAUGAGAAAUAAGAUAGAGCAGAAGAAGUUGAUGAGGGAGUCACUGAAGACAACUAAAAGAGAUGCCGCAGAGGGUAAGUCAAGGUAUAGGUUGUUGAAGAUGAUGAGGAAUGAGCUUAGGGAUGAGGUGAAUGGAGUUAUCAACGACUUUGUGAGAUUGCGGGCAUUGGAGACAUUGGUGAUGCAGGAGCUGGGUUUCUUUUGAAACUCCACACUUCUAUCAAAUGCCUUGUUUAAAUUAGAAAUGCAAAUCCACAUUAUAUAUACUCUUACUUAUCAAAAAAAGAACGAUUUUGGGUCUGAGAAAAUUAGAAAGAUGGAUACCAAGACAGUAUUUUUCUUAACUUAUUAUCUUUGCUAUAAACCGCUUUAUUCUUUAAGUCAGUUGCUGUCAAACUUCACCCUUCAAACCCAUACCAGAGGUAGAGAAAAACUAAUUAUUUGUUCAAAAGUUUGAUUUGUUUCGGCCUUUGAAAUAUUUGUUGUAAUGGCCAAUUUUGGCCCAAGUCAAUAGACCCAAAAUAACAAAAAGAGUUCAAAAAAUAUAAACAGUCAAUUUACAAAUAACCCAAUUAUUAAAAAAGCCCAAACCAAAAUCCUGUUAGCCCAUUACCUAAACUAACCCUAAUAGCCCAACUACCCAAAAUGUUUCAGCAACCCUAACCCCUACCUUGUCUGCCGCCACUCUUCACCAAAUGGCCACAGCAUACACCACCAAUCGCAGGCCUCACGCGCAUCUGACACCACCUGCAAGCACGCAAGCAACAGACAAACAAACAACAAGCAAAAAAACAAAAAGAAGCAGAAAACAAAGAGCAAAAAAAACAAGAAAGAAAAAAUAGAUAAUAGAAGUAGAAUGAGUCGAUCUUCGGCUAUAAAAGGCCACAUUCGACUUCUUUGUUUUUUUACGCAUAUUAGGCAAUCAAAAAGCAAUAUACCAGCAAAAAAGGUUGAUGUCUGGCUUUACUUUUCUUUAUCUUCAUUUUCGUUUUUUUCAUUUCUUUAAUAUUUCAUUUUGAUUUUAACACAAAUCUAUUAAGUAAGAGUAGAUAUAAAACAAGAAAAGAAAAGGAGAGAGGAACCUCACCUGAAUCGUUCGCUGUUGCGUCGCCGGAGGUCUCCCCUCUGUCGUCGGGACUACAAAGGGGUGGGGAUCCAUUUUCCUCGUUUCCUUCUGACUCAAAGAAGGCCAGGCCUUCGAACUCCUCUUGGAACAAGGCCGAGCGACUCAUUUCGGUGUAUCACCGGCCACCAAACUAGGUGGUGGCGCGGUGGUCGCAUGACUGAGCAAAAUGGGGGGGCUUAAAACCCUAGCAGAGGAAUUGAAAUGGGGGGGUGUUUAAAAGUUUUCAAACAGCAGUAAAAGAAUGAAAUCUAAAAAAAAAAAGAGGGAAAUUUUUUAGCUUAAAUGAAAGGAGCAAACAACACCGUUUAGAAAGGGGAGGGGUCCGCAUGUCUCCCUUGAAUGGGAAAUUGCCCACUUUGACCCCUCCCCCUUUUCUGACCCUUGAUUUGAUCCUGAUUUGCGUUUUUAUCCUUUCAAAUAGUGCCCAAUUAUUUUGUUUCAUCG